rnacentral:rRNA from 1 species
CCUACGGGAGGCUGCAGUGGGGAAUAUUGGACAAUGGGGGGAACCCUGAUCCAGCCAUGCCGCGUGUGUGAAGAAGGCCCUCGGGUUGUAAAGCACUUUCAGUGAGGAAGAACGCCUGGUGGUUAAUACCCACCAGGAAAGACAUCACUCACAGAAGAAGCACCGGCUAACUCCGUGCCAGCAGCCGCGGUAAUACGGAGGGUGCGAGCGUUAAUCGGAAUUACUGGGCGUAAAGCGCGCGUAGGUGGCUUGAUAAGCCGGUUGUGAAAGCCCCGGGCUCAACCUGGGAACGGCAUCCGGAACUGUCAAGCUAGAGUGCAGGAGAGGAAGGUAGAAUUCCCGGUGUAGCGGUGAAAUGCGUAGAGAUCGGGAGGAAUACCAGUGGCGAAGGCGGCCUUCUGGACUGACACUGACACUGAGGUGCGAAAGCGUGGGUAGCAAACAGGAUUAGAUACCCGAGUAGUC